rnacentral:lncRNA from 1 species
CCCUAAGCCAGUGACUGGUGUACUGACAAGAAGAGGAAAUUUGGACACAGGCACAUACAGAGAGAAAAUCUUGUGGAAGCUCAGAGAGACGACGGCCACCUACAAGCUGAGGAGAGAGGCCUCUGGAGAAACCAACCUUGUCCACACCUUGAUCUCAGACUUCCAGCUUCCAGACUGUCAGACAAUCACUCUGCUGUCUGGAAGCAGGAAAACAAGAUGGCACAUUCCUAGCAAGGGCCCAGUGUCCCUUCAGUUGACCCUGGUGGAGACCAACCACACCACCUUUGAGGACCCCUCUCCUGGAACAGUGGCUAAAUCGGAACCAUCCCAAAUCAAGGCAGGGCGGCUGUGGAAUGCUCAUUUGAGGUCUGGGUGGACCUGAGAUUCAGUAUCGCUACCAAGCUCUGAAGUGGUGCCUAUGCUGUUGGUCCAAGGACAACAUGUUGAAACCAAAGAUCAAGAGGAGAAGGCAUUAACAACGUUCAAUUUCCCAGUGCCAGCUCUUCACAUCUCAUUCCUCGAGGAGUCAUUCAAAGUGAAUAAAGAACAAGAAAAGUGGGAGCUGAAGCUACUUUCCUGUUUUUUUCUGAAGCAAAUUCUUACGAGUGAAAACUGGAAGUCCCGCAGAUCAGGAGACGUCAGUCCUCAGCGAGUUCCAGGCAAGGACAGCCCAGGAGAUCUCUGCAUUUCACCCAAGCCAACGGAUCUGCUGUGCCCUUAAGAUCAUAGACGGAGGUGGCGUACAGACUUGUAAGACAUUGAUGUUUCCUUAUCAAAAAAAAAAA